CAUUCGUAUACAGUUGGUACUUAGUAGAUAUAAUGGGUGCAUAUAUAUUUGUGUAUCAGACCUUAUAUAUAUUGAACAAAACCAAAAGAAUACUCCAUAUAAGAGACAUCAAACAGCUGGAAUCCCAAUUCUACAACACCAAAAAUCCCUCUCAAACACCAACACAAUCCAUUGAUUGCUAAGGUGUCAGUUAAAAAACCUUAAGCGAGCUAUGCUCAAUGCUCAGCACAACACACAAACGCGACUCCCCCAUUUUCUUCUCUCCCUCCAAUUCAUGGCAAAAUCCUACAUCAGCAUCAUCAUGAUGAUGUUCCUCAUCUCUCCAUUCACUAUAUCAUGUUGGGUAAUCUAUCCGGAGCGAUGUAACCCUGGGUGUAUGGAGAUAUAUCAAUGGGCGUCAGGAUUCGCAAGCCUUCAUGUUCCGAAAUACACAGUGCAGAUUGUGAACGAGGCAUGGAGCGUUAAGGGAGUAUAUGAUGUCCAAAUAUCUUGUCCCGCCUUCGCAUCAACGACUCUCAUUAAUCCCAGAGUUUUUCGACGCCUGGAUAUGGCCAACUGUCUCCUCAACGAUGGCCGGAUUAUUAGUCCCGGCCAACUCAUUACUUUUGAAUAUUCCAAUAUACUUCCUUUUCCUUUCCUCGUUACCAGUUUGAAAUGUGUAUGACGAGAUCACCUCUUGCUUUUCUGCAUCUUUAAUUCAUUCAUUUAUUCUUCUUA